rnacentral:misc_RNA from 1 species
AUUUCCACUGCCAUCUCUAUCACCACUACCAGCUCCUCCAUCUCAUCUACCCCCAGGGGAAUUCCUCCCUCUGCCACGGACUCUGUUAUUUGUGUUUCCUUGCCAGCCACCCUGCUGUUCGUCAUUUCUACCGCUAUUCCAAGGUUUUGGCGAUGCCCAACUGUUUCCGGUGUCACCGUUCCCAGGUUUUGGCGAUGCCCAA